rnacentral:rRNA from 1 species
UACGUAGGGGGCAGGCGUUAUCCGGAUUUACUGGGUGUAAAGGGAGCGUAGACGGCGAUGCAAGUCUGAAGUGAAAGCCCGGGGCUCAACCCCGGGACUGCUUUGGAAACUGUAUGGCUGGAGUGCUGGAGAGGCAAGCGGAAUUCCUAGUGUAGCGGUGAAAUGCGUAGAUAUUAGGAAGAACACCAGUGGCGAAGGCGGCUUGCUGGACAGUAACUGACGUUGAGGCUCGAAAGCGUGGGGAGCAAACAGG